rnacentral:tRNA from 1 species
GCCGAAGUGGUGGAAUGGCAGACGCGACGGACUCAAAAUCCGUUGGUAGUGAUACCGUGUGGGUUCAAGUCCCACCUUCGGCACCA